rnacentral:rRNA from 1 species
GACGAACGCUGGCGGCGUGCUUAACACAUGCAAGUCGAACGGAAAGGCCCUGCUUUUGUGGGGUGCUCGAGUGGCGAACGGGUGAGUAACACGUGAGUAACCUGCCCUUGACUUUGGGAUAACUUCAGGAAACUGGGGCUAAUACCGGAUAGGAGCUCCUGCUGCAUGGUGGGGGUUGGAAAGUUUCGGCGGUUGGGGAUGGACUCGCGGCUUAUCAGCUUGUUGGUGGGGUAGUGGCUUACCAAGGCUUUGACGGGUAGCCGGCCUGAGAGGGUGACCGGCCACAUUGGGACUGAGAUACGGCCCAGACUCCUACGGGAGGCAGCAGUGGGGAAUAUUGCACAGUGGGCGGAAGCCUGAUGCAGCAACGCCGCGUGCGGGAUGACGGCCUUCGGGUUGUAAACCGCUUUCGCCUGUGACGAAGCGUGAGUGACGGUAAUGGGUAAAGAAGCACCGGCUAACUACGUGCCAGCAGCCGCGGUGAUACGUAGGGUGCGAGCGUUGUCCGGAUUUAUUGGGCGUAAAGGGCUCGUAGGUGGUUGAUCGCGUCGGAAGUGUAAUCUUGGGGCUUAACCCUGAGCGUGCUUUCGAUACGGGUUGACUUGAGGAAGGUAGGGGAGAAUGGAAUUCCUGGUGGAGCGGUGGAAUGCGCAGAUAUCAGGAGGAACACCAGUGGCGAAGGCGGUUCUCUGGGCCUUUCCUGACGCUGAGGAGCGAAAGCGUGGGGAGCGAACAGGCUUAGAUACCCUGGUAGUCCACGCUGUAAACGGUGGGUACUAGGUGUGGGGUCCAUUCCACGGGUUCCGUGCCGUAGCUAACGCUUUAAGUACCCCGCCUGGGGAGUACGGCCGCAAGGCUAAAACUCAAAGGAAUUGACGGGGCCCCGCACAAGCGGCGGAGCAUGCGGAUUAAUUCGAUGCAACGCGUAGAACCUUACCUGGGUUUGACAUGGAUCGGGAGUGCUCAGAGAUGGGUGUGCCUCUUUUGGGGUCGGUUCACAGGUGGUGCAUGGCUGUCGUCAGCUCGUGUCGUGAGAUGUUGGGUUAAGUCCCGCAACGAGCGCAACCCUUGUUCACUGUUGCCAGCACGUUAUGGUGGGGACUCAGUGGAGACCGCCGGGGUCAACUCGGAGGAAGGUGGGGAUGACGUCAAGUCAUCAUGCCCCUUAUGUCCAGGGCUUCACGCAUGCUACAAUGGCUGGUACAGAGAGUGGCGAGCCUGUGAGGGUGAGCGAAUCUCGGAAAGCCGGUCUCAGUUCGGAUUGGGGUCUGCAACUCGACCCCAUGAAGUCGGAGUCGCUAGUAAUCGCAGAUCAGCAACGCUGCGGUGAAUACGUUCCCGGG